AGUGAACGCUGGCGGCAGGCCUAACACAUGCAGGUCGAACGAACUCUUCGGAGUUAGUGGCGGACGGGUGAGUAACACGUGGGAACGUGCCUUUAGGUUCGGAAUAACUCGGGGAAACUUGUGCUAAUACCGAAUGUGCCCUUCGGGGGAAAGAUUUAUCGCCUUUAGAGCGGCCCGCGUCUGAUUAGCUAGUUGGUGAGGUAAAGGCUCACCAAGGCGACGAUCAGUAGCUGGUCUGAGAGGAUGAUCAGCCACAUUGGGACUGAGACACGGCCCAAACUCCUACGGGAGGCAGCAGUGGGGAAUCUUGCGCAAUGGGCGAAAGCCUGACGCAGCCAUGCCGCGUGAAUGAUGAAGGUCUUAGGAUUGUAAAAUUCUUUCACCGGGGACGAUAAUGACGGUACCCGGAGAAGAAGCCCCGGCUAACUUCGUGCCAGCAGCCGCCGUAA
rnacentral:rRNA from 1 species